rnacentral:rRNA from 1 species
AUGAACGCUGGCGGCGUGCCUAAUCCAUGCAAGUCGAGCGAACAGAUGAGGAGCUUGCUCCUCUGACGUUAGCGGCGGACGGGUGAGUAACACGUGGAUAACCUACCUAUAAGACUGGGAUAACUUCGGGAAACCGGAGCUAAUACCGGAUAAUAUAUUGAACCGCAUGGUUCAAUAGUGAAAGACGGUUUUGCUGUCACUUAUAGAUGGAUCCGCGCCGCAUUAGCUAGUUGGUAAGGUAACGGCUUACCAAGGCAACGAUGCGUAGCCGACCUGAGAGGGUGAGCGGCCACACUGGAACUGAGACACGGUCCAGACUCCUACGGGAGGCAGCAGUAGGGAAUCUUCCGCAAUGGGCGAAAGCCUGACGGAGCAACGCCGCGUGAGUGAUGAAGGUCUUCGGAUCGUAAAACUCUGUUAUUAGGGAAGAACAAAUGUGUAAGUAACUAUGCACGUCUUGACGGUACCUAAUCAGAAAGCCACGGCUAACUACGUG